GGCAGAGCGGAGGCUGGUGGAGUCUGGUGGAGGUCUGCAAGCACCAGGGAACUCUGUGAAGCUCUCCUGCCAGGGAUACGGAUUCACUUCCAGUUCAUUUGCUAUACAGUGGUACCGUCAGGCACCCGGUGGAAGUCUCGAGCGUGUGUGCUGAAUUGAGUCUGGUGGAGUCUGGCGGAGGUGUGCAAGCACCUGGAGACUCCGUGCAUCUCUCCUGCCAGGGAUCCGGAUUCAGCUUUGAAGAUUAUGAUGUUUUUUGGUACCGUCAGGCACGCGGUAGCAGUCUCGAGUGGGUGUCCUACAUCAACUAUUAUGGUAGCACAAUAAAAUAUGGCAAAGCGGUG